CCCUUAGAGUUUGAUCCUGGCUCAGGAUGAACGCUAGCUACAGGCUUAACACAUGCAAGUCGAGGGGAAACGACAUCGAAAGCUUGCUUUCGAUGGGCGUCGACCGGCGCACGGGUGAGUAACGCGUAUCCAACCUGCCCAUCACUUGGGGAUAACCUUGCGAAAGUAAGACUAAUACCCAAUGACGUCUCUAGAAGACAUCUGAAGGAGAUUAAAGAUUUAUCGGUGAUGGAUGGGGAUGCGUCUGAUUAGCUUGUUGGCGGGGUAACGGCCCACCAAGGCGACGAUCAGUAGGGGUUCUGAGAGGAAGGUCCCCCACAUUGGAACUGAGACACGGUCCAAACUCCUACGGGAGGCAGCAGUGAGGAAUAUUGGUCAAUGGGCGAGAGCCUGAACCAGCCAAGUAGCGUGCAGGAUGACGGCCCUAUGGGUUGUAAACUGCUUUUAUAAGGGAAUAAAGUGAGCCUCGUGAGGCUUUUUGCAUGUACCUUAUGAAUAAGGACCGGCUAAUUCCGUGCCAGCAGCCGCGGUAAUACGGAAGGUCCGGGCGUUAUCCGGAUUUAUUGGGUUUAAAGGGAGCGUAGGCCGGAGAUUAAGCGUGUUGUGAAAUGUAGACGCUCAACGUCUGCACUGCAGCGCGAACUGGUUUCCUUGAGUACGCACAAAGUGGGCGGAAUUCGUGGUGUAGCGGUGAAAUGCUUAGAUAUCACGAAGAACUCCGAUUGCGAAGGCAGCUCACUGGAGCGCAACUGACGCUGAAGCUCGAAAGUGCGGGUAUCGAACAGGAUUAGAUACCCUGGUAGUCCGCACGGUAAACGAUGGAUGCCCGCUGUUGGUCUGAAUAGGUCAGCGGCCAAGCGAAAGCAUUAAGCAUCCCACCUGGGGAGUACGCCGGCAAC
rnacentral:rRNA from 1 species